GUAUAGCUUGCUAUACGACCUAGCGGCGGACGGGUGAGUAAUGCUUAGGAAUCUGCCUAUUAGUGGGGGACAACAUUCCGAAAGGAAUGCUAAUACCGCAUACGCCCUACGGGGGAAAGCAGGGGAUCUUCGGACCUUGCGCUAAUAGAUGAGCCUAAGUCAGAUUAGCUAGUUGGUGGGGUAAAGGCCUACCAAGGCGACGAUCUGUAGCGGGUCUGAGAGGAUGAUCCGCCACACUGGGACUGAGACACGGCCCAGACUCCUACGGGAGGCAGCAGUGGGGAAUAUUGGACAAUGGGCGAAAGCCUGAUCCAGCCAUGCCGCGUGUGUGAAGAAGGCCUUUUGGUUGUAAAGCACUUUAAGCGAGGAGGAGGCUACCGAGAUUAAUACUCUUGGAUAGUGGACGUUACUCGCAGAAUAAGCACCGGCUAACUCUGUGCCAGCAGCCGCGGUAAUACAGAGGGUGCGAGCGUUAAUCGGAUUUACUGGGCGUAAAGCGUGCGUAGGCGGCUUUUUAAGUCGGAUGUGAAAUCCCUGAGCUUAACUUAGGAAUUGCAUUCGAUACUGGGAAGCUAGAGUAUGGGAGAGGAUGGUAGAAUUCCAGGUGUAGCGGUGAAAUGCGUAGAGAUCUGGAGGAAUACCGAUGGCGAAGGCAGCCAUCUGGCCUAAUACUGACGCUGAGGUACGAAAGCAUGGGGAGCAAACAGGAUUAGAUACCCUGGUAGUCCAUGCCGUAAACGAUGUCUACUAGCCGUUGGGGCCUUUGAGGCUUUAGUGGCGCAGCUAACGCGAUAAGUAGACCGCCUGGGGAGUACGGUCGCAAGACUAAAACUCAAAUGAAUUGACGGGGGCCCGCACAAGCGGGGAGCAUGUGGUUUAAUUCGAUGCAACGCGAAGAACCUUACCUGGCUUGAAUAGUAAGAACUUUCCAGAAUGGAUUGGGCUUCGGGAACUUACAUACAGGGCUGCAUGGCU
rnacentral:rRNA from 1 species